rnacentral:pre_miRNA from 2 species
UCUUAUGGAUGAGCAAACGAAGUAGUUUCUUAAAAUAGAAUCCACUUCCUGGUGAAGAUGUUGUGAA